rnacentral:rRNA from 1 species
GACGAACGCUGGCGGCGUGCUUAACAUAUGCAAGUCGAACGGAAAGGCCUGCUUUCCCUUGUGGAUUGCGGGUACUCGAGUGGCGAACGGGUGAGUAACACGUGAGUGAUCUGCCCCCAACUUGGGUAUAAGCCUGGGAAACUGGGUCUAAUUCCCGAUAGGACUGCAGGGUGGUGCCUGUGGUGGAAAACGAUUUUCUAGUGGUUGGGGAUGAGCUCGCGGCCUAUCAGCUUGUUGGUGGGGUAAUGGCCUACCAAGGCGGCGACGGGUAGCCGGCCUGAGAGGGUGGACGGACACAUUGGGACUGAGAGACGGCCCAGACUCCUACGGGAGGCAGCAGUGGGGAAUAUUGCACAAUGGGCGGAAGCCUGAUGCAGCGACGCCGCGUGGGGGAUGACGGCCUUCGGGUUGUAAACUCCUUUCGACCGCGAGGAAGCCACCUGGUUGGAAGGGUGGUGACGGUAGUGGUAGAAGAAGCACCGGCUAACUACGUG